rnacentral:rRNA from 1 species
AAGAAAGAUUAAUACCGGAUAGUAUACGAAUAUCGCAUGAUAUUUUUAUUAAAGAAUUUCGGUUAUCGAUGGGGAUGCGUUCCAUUAGUUUGUUGGCGGGGUAACGGCCCACCAAGACUACGAUGGAUAGGGGUUCUGAGAGGAAGGUCCCCCACAUUGGAACUGAGACACGGUCCAAACUCCUACGGGAGGCAGCAGUGAGGAAUAUUGGUCAAUGGGCGAGAGCCUGAACCAGCCAAGUAGCGUGAAGGAUGAAGGCUCUAUGGGUCGUAAACUUCUUUUAUAUGGGAAUAAAGUUUUCCACGUGUGGAAUUUUGUAUGUACCAUAUGAAUAAGGAUCGGCUAACUCCGUGCCAGCAGCCGCGGUAAUACGGAGGAUCCGAGCGUUAUCCGGAUUUAUUGGGUUUAAAGGGAGCGUAGGUGGAUUGUUAAGUCAGUUGUGAAAGUUUGCGGCUCAACCGUAAAAUUGCAGUUGAAACUGGCAGUCUUGAGUACAGUAGAGGUGGGCGGAAUUCGUGGUGUAGCGGUGAAAUGCUUAGAUAUCACGAAGAACUCCGAUUGCGAAGGCAGCUCACUAGAC